AGUGAACGCUGGCGGUAUGCCUAACACAUGCAAGUCGAACGGCAGCACAGUAAGAGCUUGCUCUUACGGGUGGCGAGUGGCGGACGGGUGAGGCAUACAUCGGAAUCUACUUUUUCGUGGGGGAUAACGUAGGGAAACUUACGCUACUACCUCAUACGACCUACGGGUGAAAGCAGGGGAUCUUCGGACCUUGCGCGAUUGAAUGAGCCGAUGUCGGAUUAGCUAGUUGGCGGGGUAAAGGCCCACCAAGGCGACGAUCCGUAGCUGGUCUGAGAGGAUGAUCAGCCACACUGGAACUGAGACACGGUCCAGACUCCUACGGGAGGCAGCAGUGGGGAAUAUUGGACAAUGGGCGCAAGCCUGAUCCAGCCAUACCGCGUGGGUGAAGAAGGCCUUCGGGUUGUAAAGCCCUUUUGUUGGGAAAGAAAAGCAGCAGGUUAAUACACCGAUGUUCUGACGGUACCCAAAGAAUAAGCACCGGCUAACUUCGUG
rnacentral:rRNA from 1 species